rnacentral:tRNA from 1 species
GGCUCCUUAGCUCAGUGGAUAGAGCGCUGCUAGAGCGAGUGGUAAUGCUAGCAAGACCACAAGAUAGCGGAGGUCGCGGGUUCGAGUCCCGCAGGAGCCA